UAAACAAGGAAGUCACUUAUACACCGCGAAUGUUUUUAUACAGUCUAUGAAUGAGCCGAGUGCUGCGGUUUAUGUCUGUUUUUCAUUUGUGUUGUCUACUCGCGAGUGAAGUUUGUAUUUAUAGCAUAGACUGUAUAAAAACAGAUUUAUACACGUAAUCAAGCACUUAUAGUAUCCUAACCGUUUCCAGGAUCAAGAACUCCGAUUUGUUAUUGUGUAUUUAAAACGCACUUGGAUUUCGUUAUAAGGCACCCUCAUUUCUUUUUUCAUAUAAAAUUACACCUGUUUGACCUGUUAACAAAAGAAAGUUCACUUUAAUGUCUUUAGAUGAACAGUAUAUUGUUUGACACUGCAAAGAUUUGGUUUAUCAUCAAUGUCAUGCUUAUAAAUGGCUCAUUGAUUUAAUCCAUUCUGGAAGCAGUAUGACCUUUAUUGACCUUUAUUAUCUUUAUUAUCCUGUGGUGUUAACCUUACAGAUCUCCAGUCUGUUUUGCAUGGUAAUAUGUUGUAUGUAAGAUAUACAGUAGCUCAAAUGUAUAUCUAGUAUUUAUUGAUAAUUUGGUUGUAGGAAGAAGGAAACUUAAAUUGUUGUAUUUUUGAUUGAAGUUGUGUUUUUAAAUCAGCAGGGAUCUGCUAUAAUGUCAUCACCUGUGGAUGUUAUCGUGGUUGGAGCUUGUAACAGAGGAGAAAACUAUUCUUACAAUGCUGUGAUUUUUCCUGACCACAUGGAGAUUGGCAUCGCGUAGCAGAUAGAGAAAUUUGCUGAUGCUGUAUUGAUCUGCACUCCUGAUCGUCUUCCUAAGGACCCUUGCUGUGGCUUUAGCUAAGAAAGACUACCAUGUACUGCUGGAAAAACCAAUGACUGUAAGUGUUUGCCAUAAGGCUUCAUGACAUGAUGCUUUUUGUUGGGCUCUAUUAAAUGAUUCAAAAGUGCUUUAAAAUGCAGUUCGUGCAUGCAUGAUUUAUAGGCUCCUAUUCUAUCAUGAGCACAUUUUUAAUUUUUAAAUUAAAAUCUAAACAUUUUAGGGGCACAAAAGGUUACAGAUGAGGACUGCACAGAGAUUGUAGAGUCUUAAUAAACAACUUUCCAAGUCUCAAGCAGAAAAGAACAUACACAUUUGUUUUCAACAAUUCUGUUGAUUGACAGUGGAGUGAUUGGCGAUGUCAUCCACAUUCAACAUCUGGAACCAGUAGGAUGUGUUUAAUGAGUUUGCUGUGGCUUCUCUAAUGGGUGGGGUUCUAGCACUUUACUCACUCCUUUGUCAGAGGAACUGUAGAAACAAGGCAGAAAGCUUUAUUUUUCUGUUUUUUUAUUUUUAUUUUUUACUUUUUUUCCCCUUUUUUUGAAAAUGUAUCUAUAUUCAUAAAGUUUUAAGGAAGAUCUUAAAGCUGAAUAAUAUUUUUAGGUGAACAUUUUAUUUUGCAGGUGUAUCAAAGUUCAAAGCACUUCACAAAAGAGAAUAUGGUUGGUAUUAAUAUUAUUGUUUUUUUGUUUGCUUUUGUAAAUGAAAAAUGCUUUUGUGACAUCAUUAAAAAAAAAUAUUUCACAAUCUUCCUAGCCAGCAAAUGCUGCAGAUCGCUGUUUAGACUGUCCUGUAGAGGGGGAUUAUGCAAACUCUUCAAAGAAAAUCUAUUUGGAUCAAGUUAAAAGAGUAAAAUAUUCAUGUACACUACAGUUCACAAGUUUGGGGUCAGCAAG